rnacentral:rRNA from 1 species
AAUGAACGUUGGCGGCGUGGAUUAGGCAUGCAAGUCGUGCGGCAGCAGGCCCGCAAGGGCGCUGGCGAGCGGCGAAAGGGAGAGGAACACGCGGGUACCUACCCUCAGGACCGGGAUAGCUGCGGGAAACUGCAAUUAAUACCGGAUAAUGUCUCCGGACCAAAGGUGUGAUUCCGCCGGAGGAGGGGCCCACGUCCUAUCAGCUAGUUGGAGAGGUAAUGGCUCACCAAGGCUACGACGGGUACGGGGCGUGAGAGCAUGCCCCCGCUCACUGGGACUGAGAGACUGCCCAGGCACGUACGGGUGGCUGCAGUCGAGAAUCUGCCGCACUGGUGGAAAGCCUGACGGAGCGACGCCGCGUGCGGGAUGAAGGCCUUCGGGUUGUAAACCGCUGUCAGUAGGGAGGAAAUUCAUGGGGGUUCUCCCCUGUGUUUGACCGAUCCGCAGAGGAAGCACAGGCUAAGUUCGUGCCAGCCGCCGCAGUAACAC